rnacentral:tRNA from 1 species
GCCCUGGUGACAUGAUGGUUAAGUGCUUGGCUGCUAACCAAAAGGUUGGUGGUUCAAACCCACCCAGUGUG